rnacentral:rRNA from 1 species
AUUGAACGCUGGCGGCAGGCCUAACACAUGCAAGUCGAGCGGAUGAAGGGAGCUUGCUCCUGGAUUCAGCGGCGGACGGGUGAGUAAUGCCUAGGAAUCUGCCUGGUAGUGGGGGAUAACGUCCGUAAACGGGCGCUAAUACCGCAUACGUCCUGAGGGAGAAAGUGGGGGAUCUUCGGACCUCACGCUAUCAGAUGAGCCUAGGUCGGAUUAGCUAGUUGGUGGGGUAAAGGCCUACCAAGGCGACGAUCCGUAACUGGUCUGAGAGGAUGAUCAGUCACACUGGAACUGAGACACGGUCCAGACUCCUACGGGAGGCAGCAGUGGGGAAUAUUGGACAAUGGGCGAAAGCCUGAUCCAGCCACGCCGCGUGUGUGAAGAAGGUCUUCGGAUUGUAAAGCACUUUAAGUUGGGAGGAAGAGCAGUAAGUUAAUACCUUGCUGUUUUGACGUUACCAACAGAAUAAGCACCGGCUAACUUCGUG